CAGAUUGUGGAUGCGGAUCAGCAUUUGCCGGACUUUAUGGGCUUGGUCGCAGCGAUGAAACGAAUCGUUCCUGAGUUUAAAUCUCAGAAUUCCGA
rnacentral:tRNA from 1 species